rnacentral:rRNA from 1 species
GACCUCGGAUCAGGUAGGAAUACCCGCUGAACUUAAGCAUAUCAAUAAGCGGAGGAAAAGAAACCAACAGGGAUUGCUCUAGUAACGGCGAGUGAAGCAGCAAUAGCUCAAAUUUGAAAUCUGGCGUCUUCGACGUCCGAGUUGUAAUUUGUAGAGGAUGCUUCUGAGUGGCCACCGACCUAAGUUCCUUGGAACAGGACGUCAUAGAGGGUGAGAAUCCCGUAUGCGGUCGGAAAGGCGCUCUAUACGUAGCUCCUUCGACGAGUCGAGUUGUUUGGGAAUGCAGCUCUAAAUGGGAGGUAAAUUUCUUCUAAAGCUAAAUAUUGGCCAGAGACCGAUAGCGCACAAGUAGAGUGAUCGAAAGAUGAAAAGCACUUUG